GGAUAACUGUGCUGCAUGAGGGUGUUUGAUCUCUGUUUCAGUCAAUACCGCCUCCGUGCCUUACACUAUGAACACAGGGAAACCUGCUGACAGCACUCAGAUAUUUUUGGUGAACUUUGCUCAGCAGGUGCACUGACGACUUAAACUCCCAUUAGAUCACUCCCAGGGGAUUCAGAUCCUUGUGAUCAGUUAUUGCUUUUGGCUCCUCCUCUGCCAUAAGGGCUUGAAACGCUCAAGGCAGCACACACCAACUUGGACUUCAGGGCUGGAAGCACAGGAGCCCACUUUCUGAUCUGCUCCUGCCCUGCUCCAAUAACACCAAGAAUGGGUCGAGGUGAGAACAUGGGACACCUGACUCAACCUGGUCGCAGGCAGAAGACACAGCAGGAGCCUCUGGAUGUGGAGCCCUUGUUAAUCCGCUUCCUCCGGACAUUCAGGGAAAUCCUCAAAUUUGUUCUCUUCAGCUACACGGUGCUGUUUGGUGCUUUGCUCCUUGCCAGAUGGACCACUUAUUUUAUGGUGGGGAAGUAAAAAGAAAGCGACUGUUGAAGAAUGAGCCUGUUCUCGCACUCAGAGCUCAUUAAUGAAGUUGAUCAGGCUGACCGUCUUGGGAUUUGUGGUCUAUGCAGUUCCUAUAAAUUAUUAAUAUCUCUAUACACAGCUGGAGUGAUCAUGUCUAAACGGGGAGUUGCAGGCAUUUAGAGCAACUCUACAGUGAAACUCAUUUUAAACUAGCUUAUUUGCAUCAGUUGUGUUUGUUGACAAUGUGUUUAAAUGUGCAAUCUAGAAACUGUGAUAUCUGCUGAGCUGCAAAAUUACCACAACAAAGCUGUUAAACAUGUUUGUAUGGUUGUGUAGCAUACAAAAGCAGUACUGUGUAUAUUUGAUUGAUAAAAGCUUUAAAAUGUUUUUUGUUCCAUGGGAAGCAAAUAUAAAGUCUGGCAAAAAUGUUCAUGUAAAUAAGACAUAUCAGCGGUGGCAAUGUCAGUGGGGACUCUUUCUCUGUUAUGGUGCUAAUUUCUCCCAAAUGAAUCAGUGAAACAAAGCUGCCCCUCUGAUGGGAUCUUGUGUAUCUGGGGAAGCUGAAGCACCAGGUGGAUGUGGUGGACAACUGCCACCUGGGCCCUAGGCUUCCAGAGGGUCUAAAGACUCCAGAUUCAUUUUAAGGAAAAUAAUUUGUGGUAAUUUGAUUCAUUACAAAUUUGGUUGGCAAUACUGUACACACCACCAAAGCACAAUAUAAAACAAAUCUGAUUUGGGCCUUAA